rnacentral:lncRNA from 1 species
UUUUUUAUAAACAUUAAAUAUAUGUUUUGUACACAAAAAGAAGAUAGUAUGCAGAUAUUUAUGAUUAAUUUAUUCAUUUAUAUUGUAAUGUAUUCAUAUUUGAAUUUUUUGAUCUAAAACUAUAAAAUAUAAUCUAUUGAUAUCCUUAUAAGUUGUUUUAAAAAAAUGACCAUGAAAAAAAGAAAAAAAGAAAAUGACAUUUUAUAUAGACAAAGAUGAUCUAAAGCUAUGCGAAUCAAAACAAAUUGUGAAAAUAGCAUAGAACUACUUUUAUUAGAAACAUGAAACCUAUUAGAUGGAUAUAUGGGAAAACA